rnacentral:rRNA from 1 species
GACGAACGCUGGCGGCGUGCUUAACACAUGCAAGUCGAGCGGUAAGGCCCUUUCGGGGGUACACGAGCGGCGAACGGGUGAGUAACACGUGGGUGACCUGCCUCUAGCUCUGGGAUAAGCCUGGGAAGCUGGGUCUAAUACCGGAUAUGACCUCGCGGUGCAUGUUGCGGGGUGGAAAGCCUUGUGCGGCUAGGGAUGGGCCCGCGGCCUAUCAGCUUGUUGGUGGGGUGANGGCCUACCAAGGCGACGACGGGUAGCCGGCCUGAGAGGGCGACCGGCCACACUGGGACUGAGACACGGCCCAGACUCCUACGGGAGGCAGCAGUGGGGAAUCUUGCGCAACGGGCGAAAGCCUGACGCAGCGACGCCGCGUGAGGGA